UCCGGCUUGUCACCGGCGGUUUCCCCAGAGUGCCCACCAUUACGUGCUGGCAACAUAGAACGAGGGUUGCGCUCGUUGCGGGACUUAACCCAACAUCUCACGACACGAGCUGACGACAACCAUGCACCACCUGUGCAAGCUCCCCUUGCGGGGUCGUCCCACUUUCAUGGUUCUACCACUUGCAUGUCAAGGCCAGGUAAGGUUCUUCGCGUUGCAUCGAAUUAAGCCACAUACUCCACCGCUUGUGCAGGCCCCCGUCAAUUUCUUUGAGUUUUAGCCUUGCGGCCGUACUCCCCAGGCGGGGCACUUAAUGCGUUAGCUUCGGCACGGAGAAAGUGGAAUGUCCCCCACACCUAGUGCCCACCGUUUACGGCGUGGACUAC
rnacentral:misc_RNA from 1 species